AAAACGACUCUCGGCAACGGAUAUCUCGGCUCUMGCAUCGAUGAAGAACGUAGCGAAAUGCGAUACUUGGUGUGAAUUGCAGAAUCCCGUGAACCAUCGAGUCUUKGAACGCAAGUUGCGCCCCAAGCCGUUAGGCCGAGGGMACGCCUGCCUGGGUGUCACGC
rnacentral:rRNA from 1 species